rnacentral:rRNA from 1 species
UUAAGCGACUAAGCGUACACGGUGGAUGCCCUGGCAGUCAGAGGCGAUGAAGGACGUGCUAAUCUGCGAUAAGCGUCGGUGAGGUGAUAUGAACCGUUAUAACCGGCGAUUUCCGAAUGGGGAAACCCAGUGUGUUUCGACACACUAUCAUUAACUGAAUCCAUAGGUUAAUGAGGCGAACCGGGGGAACUGAAACAUCUAAGUACCCCGAGGAAAAGAAAUCAACCGAGAUUCCCCCAGUAGCGGCGAGCGAACGGGGAGGAGCCCAGAGCCUGAAUCAGUGUGUGUGUUAGUGGAAGCGUCUGGAAAGGCGCGCGAUACAGGGUGACAGCCCCGUACACAAAAAUGCACAUACUGUGAGCUCGAUGAGUAGGGCGGGACACGUGGUAUCCUGUCUGAAUAUGGGGGGACCAUCCUCCAAGGCUAAAUACUCCUGACUGACCGAUAGUGAACCAGUACCGUGAGGGAAAGGCGAAAAGAACCCCGGCGAGGGAGUGAAAAAGAACCUGAAACCGUGUACGUACAAGCAGUGGGAGCCUCUUAAUGGGGUGACUGCGUACCUUUUGUAUAAUGGGUCAGCGACUUAUAUUCUGUAGCAAGGUUAACCGAAUAGGGGAGCCGAAGGGAAACCGAGUCUUAACUGGGCGUUAAGUUGCAGGGUAUAGACCCGAAACCCGGUGAUCUAGCCAUGGGCAGGUUGAAGGUUGGGUAACACUAACUGGAGGACCGAACCGACUAAUGUUGAAAAAUUAGCGGAUGACUUGUGGCUGGGGGUGAAAGGCCAAUCAAACCGGGAGAUAGCUGGUUCUCCCCGAAAGCUAUUUAGGUAGCGCCUCGUGAAUUCAUCUCCGGGGGUAGAGCACUGUUUCGGCAAGGGGGUCAUCCCGACUUACCAACCCGAUGCAAACUGCGAAUACCGGAGAAUGUUAUCACGGGAGACACACGGCGGGUGCUAACGUCCGUCGUGAAGAGGGAAACAACCCAGACCGCCAGCUAAGGUCCCAAAGUCAUGGUUAAGUGGGAAACGAUGUGGGAAGGCCCAGACAGCCAGGAUGUUGGCUUAGAAGCAGCCAUCAUUUAAAGAAAGCGUAAUAGCUCACUGGUCGAGUCGGCCUGCGCGGAAGAUGUAACGGGGCUAAACCAUGCACCGAAGCUGCGGCAGCGACACUAUGUGUUGUUGGGUAGGGGAGCGUUCUGUAAGCCUGUGAAGGUGGCCUGUGAGGGUUGCUGGAGGUAUCAGAAGUGCGAAUGCUGACAUAAGUAACGAUAAAGCGGGUGAAAAGCCCGCUCGCCGGAAGACCAAGGGUUCCUGUCCAACGUUAAUCGGGGCAGGGUGAGUCGACCCCUAAGGCGAGGCCGAAAGGCGUAGUCGAUGGGAAACAGGUUAAUAUUCCUGUACUUGGUGUUACUGCGAAGGGGGGACGGAGAAGGCUAUGUUGGCCGGGCGACGGUUGUCCCGGUUUAAGCGUGUAGGCUGGUUUUCCAGGCAAAUCCGGAAAAUCAAGGCUGAGGCGUGAUGACGAGGCACUACGGUGCUGAAGCGACAAAUGCCCUGCUUCCAGGAAAAGCCUCUAAGCAUCAGGUAACAUCAAAUCGUACCCCAAACCGACACAGGUGGUCAGGUAGAGAAUACCAAGGCGCUUGAGAGAACUCGGGUGAAGGAACUAGGCAAAAUGGUGCCGUAACUUCGGGAGAAGGCACGCUGAUAUGUAGGUGAAGCGACUUGCUCGUGGAGCUGAAAUCAGUCGAAGAUACCAGCUGGCUGCAACUGUUUAUUAAAAACACAGCACUGUGCAAACACGAAAGUGGACGUAUACGGUGUGACGCCUGCCCGGUGCCGGAAGGUUAAUUGAUGGGGUUAGCGGUAACGCGAAGCUCUUGAUCGAAGCCCCGGUAAACGGCGGCCGUAACUAUAACGGUCCUAAGGUAGCGAAAUUCCUUGUCGGGUAAGUUCCGACCUGCACGAAUGGCGUAAUGAUGGCCAGGCUGUCUCCACCCGAGACUCAGUGAAAUUGAACUCGCUGUGAAGAUGCAGUGUACCCGCGGCAAGACGGAAAGACCCCGUGAACCUUUACUAUAGCUUGACACUGAACAUUGAGCCUUGAUGUGUAGGAUAGGUGGGAGGCUUUGAAGUGUGGACGCCAGUCUGCAUGGAGCCGGCCUUGAAAUACCACCCUUUAAUGUUUGAUGUUCUAACGUUGGCCCGUAAUCCGGGUUGCGGACAGUGUCUGGUGGGUAGUUUGACUGGGGCGGUCUCCUCCUAAAGAGUAACGGAGGAGCACGAAGGUUGGCUAAUCCUGGUCGGACAUCAGGAGGUUAGUGCAAUGGCAUAAGCCAGCUUGACUGCGAGCGUGACGGCGCGAGCAGGUGCGAAAGCAGGUCAUAGUGAUCCGGUGGUUCUGAAUGGAAGGGCCAUCGCUCAACGGAUAAAAGGUACUCCGGGGAUAACAGGCUGAUACCGCCCAAGAGUUCAUAUCGACGGCGGUGUUUGGCACCUCGAUGUCGGCUCAUCACAUCCUGGGGCUGAAGUAGGUCCCAAGGGUAUGGCUGUUCGCCAUUUAAAGUGGUACGCGAGCUGGGUUUAGAACGUCGUGAGACAGUUCGGUCCCUAUCUGCCGUGGGCGCUGGAGAACUGAGGGGGGCUGCUCCUAGUACGAGAGGACCGGAGUGGACGCAUCACUGGUGUUCGGGUUGUCAUGCCAAUGGCACUGCCCGGUAGCUAAAUGCGGAAGAGAUAAGUGCUGAAAGCAUCUAAGCACGAAACUUGCCCCGAGAUGAGUUCUCCCUGACCCUUUAAGGGUCCUGAAGGAACGUUGAAGACGACGACGUUGAUAGGCCGGGUGUGUAAGCGCAGCGAUGCGUUGAGCUAACCGGUACUAAUGAACCGUGAGGCUUAACCUU